GAACUCGAGAUCUCACAUUCAUGAAGACUACUCCAACAUUCAUGAAGACCACUCCAAAACUACUGCGCUAAAACUCAUUGGUUUUUAUCCAAUUGUGUUUAUUGUAUCAGAAUAGUGCCUGUUUUUAUCUUCUGUAGGAAGGCAGGAGACCAGCUUUGAAGGGCAUUCUGCAUGUUGUAAUGUCUGAUGGAGGGAUAAGAAAUUUCACAUUCUGCUCUUCAUCACUUGAGGAAUGCCAAUCUGAAUAAUUUCACGUGUUCUUUUUGUAAUAGAUUUUGGCCCAUUUGCAGCUUUAUUCUAAGUGCAGAGGGCUGGACCAUUCUAGUCUGAAAUCACCAUUUAUCAGGUUACCACUAAUCCAACAAAAUGAAUCCAGUAGAUAAUGAGAGCUCACUUAUCAAUUAGGGUUUGACUAUGUUUGGA
rnacentral:misc_RNA from 1 species